CGCGUAGGCGGUUUAUUAAGUCAGAUGUGAAAGCCCCGGGCCCAACCUGGGAACUGCAUUUGAUACUGGUAAACUAGAGUUUGGUAGAGGGUGACGGAAUUCCAGGUGUAGCGGUGAAAUGCGUAGAUAUCUGGAGGAACAUCAGUGGCGAAGGCGGUUGCCUGGACCAAAACUGACGUUGAGGUGCGAAAGCGUGGGGAGCAAACA
rnacentral:rRNA from 1 species